GUAGGGUGCGAGCGUUAAUCGGAAUUACUGGGCGUAAAGCGUGCGCAGGCGGUUCGCUAAGACCGAUGUGAAAUCCCCGGGCUUAACCUGGGAACUGCAUUGGUGACUGGCGGGCUAGAGUAUGGCAGAGGGGGGUAGAAUUCCACGUGUAGCAGUGAAAUGCGUAGAGAUGUGGAGGAAUACCGAUGGCGAAGGCAGCCCCCUGGGCCAAUACUGACGCUCAUGCACGAAAGCGUGGGGGAGCAAACAGGAUUAGAUACCCCGGUAGUCCACGCCCUAAACGAUGUCAACUAGUUGUCGGGUCUUCAUUGACUUGGUAACGUAGCUAACGCGUGAAGUUGACCGCCUGGGGAUACGGUCGCAAGAUUA
rnacentral:rRNA from 1 species